AGUGAACGCUGGCGGUAGGCCUAACACAUGCAAGUCGAACGGCAGCACAGUAAGAGCUUGCUCUUACGGGUGGCGAGUGGCGGACGGGUGAGGAAUACAUCGGAAUCUACUUUUUCGUGGGGGAUAACGUAGGGACACGUACGCUAAUACCGCAUACGACCUACGGGUGAAAGCAGGGGAUCUUCGGACCUUGCGCGAUUGAAUGAGCCGAUGUCGGAUUAGCUAGUUGGCGGGGUAAAGGCCCACCAAGGCGACGAUCCGUAGCUGGUCUGAGAGGAUGAUCGGCCACACUGGAACUGAGACACGGUCCAGACUCCUACGGGAGGCAGCAGUGGGGAAUAUUGGGCAAUGGGCGCAAGCCUGAUCCAGCCAUACCGCGUGGGUGAAGAAGGCCUUCGGGUUGUAAAGCCCUUUUGUUGGGAAAGAACAGCAGCAGGUUAAUACCCCGCUGUUCUGACGGUACCCAAAGAAUAAGCACCGGCUAACUUCGUG
rnacentral:rRNA from 1 species